UACGUAGGGUGCAAGCGUUGUCCGGAAUUAUUGGGCGUAAAGAGCUCGUAGGCGGUUUGUCGCGUCUGCUGUGAAAACCCGCGGCUCAACUGCGGGCCUGCAGCCGAUACGGGCAGGCUAGAGUUCGGUAGGGGAGACUGGAAUUCCUGGUGUAGCGGUGAAAUGCGCAGAUAUCAGGAGGAACACCGGUGGCGAAGGCGGGUCUCUGGGCCGAUACUGACGCUGAGGAGCGAAAGCGUGGGGAGCGAACAGG
rnacentral:rRNA from 1 species